rnacentral:pre_miRNA from 1 species
AUCUGAAUUCCCUGGGCAUCUUGUUACAAUGCAGAUUCUGAUUCAAUUGCUCUGGGGCGGAGCCGAGCGUCUGCAUUUCUAACAAGCUCCCAGGUGAUGCUGAU